AGGAAUGGUGGGGAAAGAUCACAUCAUUAUGCAAAGUGCUGGACAGGAGAAGUUAAUCUGACCGAAUACCUUCGCCACCACCUACAACUGCCCUGAGAAAGCAGAGAAGCCAAAUCUUAAACCAGACCAAUACAGAGUUGGACUGGCUGGGUUUGCAAAGUCAAAGUCUCUGCAUGCAAUGCCGCUGAUGAAAUAGUUGAUGGGCUACUUUUUCCAUGUGACUGGAGAAACUUGUUAGGUAACUAGUGCAAUUGUCCGGGACAAGACUAGAUGAUGGUACUAACUACUGACUGCUACACUACCAUCUUCUGAUUUCAAGACAAGAAAGUAUCUUCAACAGUGUGGACAUGGUUGUGGUGUCAGACAGUGGCUGCCUUGUCAUAAAACACUGUAGGAUUGAAUCUGUCUUGCGAGCACACAUGUCUGGGGAUUUAAGUAUGCAGCUGUGUAGAACAUGUGUUCUGUUUAGAAUGUAUGUUCCUGCCCACCACCAGUUUAUUCUGCUUCUAAACCAAUAGGCUCUCUCAAAGUCUGCCCUACUUAGUUUUAUUUUACUUUCUUACCACCCAGAUUCUUGCUAUCAUCUCCUUACCAUGCUACCCUGUCUUUCAUUUUUCCUGCAGGCUCUGCCACUUCAUACCAGCUCCUCUAUUCUCUGCUGAUCUAUAAAUCUACCCAGUCACCUUAUACAUUUUUGUGCUGCUCUUUUCCAAUUGCUCCAUCAACCUCCCUUGUGCACCUUAUAACCUGCUCAAACUUCCCAGGGAGGAGUCAAUGUUUGGUAAUGGGCCCUUGAGGUCAGGUUUUCCAGCAUGCCAAGAUUUAUGCACUUCAUGUAAUAAAUAUUUGUAAUUUUUAGUCUUAUUUAAUUAUCCUGCACUGUGUGUAUUUCAAAAACAUUCACCAUAAUCAGAUUUUUUAUUUUAACAUCUUGAACAGCAAAGCUCAAAGUAUCCCAAAUUAUGUUUAAAAAUAUGUAAAGUUUAUCUUUCAUAGUUAAAUUAAUAGAGGUUAAUAUGCUCAUAGUUCAACUUUGUGAAACACAUAUUCCAAAAGAUCCCAAAAUAAUGGGUUAUCUUUAGACAUAAAAUGUAAUGAAUAAGUUUUAAAAUCUGUGAAAUCUAGAACUGUUUAGGGCUCCCUCGCCAGAUAAAUAGGAGUUCAUCAUUUUUUGGAAAGGGUACGUUUUUAGUUGAUCUUAUCUGAAAAGUAUUCAUAACUAAAGGUAUUACAGCAAUUUUUAAAAAAUAUCUUGGAAAAGAGACUAAACUGGCUACUGCAAUAAGCAAUUACAUACUUAAGAAAGACAAGUUUAUGAAUCUAAUGUAUUUAGAAUUAACUAAAAUGACAAAAGUAAAGAAAAAAAUAUUGUGAAGUAGAACUUCUUCCUUAAGGUAUUGGCAGCUACCAUCUGAAUUAUUCAUUCAAUUUAAACAUGAUGCACAGUGUAAGUUUUAAACAUUUUGUCACUUGAGCAUUUUGUAACUGGACAAAAUAAGUGGAAUUGGCCCUCAAUUAUCAUGUAAGGAUAUUACCUAGGCCUUGUGCUCAACAAGUGCACCCACAGCUUGUUUGCAGAUGAUUGCUAUUAAAAUAAAUAGAGGGUUGAUUCCAGCUUUUUCUGCUACAAAAGAUUUGAAAAUCACCCUGCGUGACUUUGAAACUAUCGUUGAUAUUUGUAAGUAUAUUUUCACCUAUGUUCUACAAAUAACAAUGCAUCGUGCUGAAAACAGAUGAUAUUUUACGAGUAGACAAAAUGAUGUUGUAAUAUAAGGGAUGAGGUGGUUACUAUUUUGAUAUCUUUAUAUUUGAAUAAUGUGACAUGAUAUAAGAAAUAUAACAAUAUGUGCUGUUUAUCAGUUUGUUUGUGUGUAACUGGCUGCAUAAUGUUCUGUGAAAUACAAGUCCAUGAAUGCCACUUAUAAUAAUGGCGUCCUAUUACUGAAAUGCCUGUGCUAGAAUUCAAUGUAGCUGAAAGCUAAUCAACCAACCAACAAGUGUAUAGCAAACAAAGAAAGGUUGACCUCUGUUUUGGGCUAUGACUCAGUCUCAGGCUGCCACAUGUCAAUUAAGCGAAGAUCAGAAUGGUCAUCUUAUUGAAGUUUAACACAGGCACAUGUCUCUGCUGUCACUUCAGUCACAUAACCAGCUAUUUUGCUUUUAAAAUGAUCAAAGAUUCCACAGAUCCUGAGCCUGCACCUAUAAAUUAUCUAAUGAAUACUGAUGUGAAUGAUAGGCUUUACAGCCUUCUCAUUACAUGAAGCAAAAUCUAUUAUUGUUGAUUUAUCUUUGUACAUGUUCAUGGUUCAGUUCAUAAAAACAUAUUCCAGUGAAGCUUUCCAAUAAAAAAAUGUAUUAUCUUUCCA